CCCUUAGAUGUUCUGGGCCGCACGCGUGCUACACUGAUGCAUUCAACGAGUCUAAAACCUGGUCUGAUAGGGCUGGGUAAUCUUUUGAAAGUGCAUCGUGAUUGGGAUAGAUGAUUGCAAUUCUUCAUCUUCAACGAGGAAUGCCUAGUAAACGCAAGUCAUCAGCUUGCAUUGAUUACGUCCCUGCCCUUUGUACACACCGCCCGUCGCUCCUACCGAUUGAAUGAUCCGAUGAAUACCAUGGAUUGAGAGUACGAAUAGGUUCGCUUAUUUCUGCUGCUCGAGAAGUGGAGUAAAUCUUAUCAUUUAGAGGAAGGAGAAGGCGUAACA
rnacentral:rRNA from 1 species